GGAAGGAUCAUAACAAAAUCCAUAAAAAACCAGUUGGUGGGUUAGUGCACAGCAAACCCAACUCGAAACGAAUCUCGGACCUGGCAUGACACUCACCACCCAGAUUCAAGAGUGAAAAGCGCCUCCAAUGAAUGAUCAAUUCAUCUUUGGAGUAAACCCCACAGAAUGUGUCAACACAAACCCAAAAACAAAAACUUCAAAAUCAUUUCCUGAAUGUCAUGUCAAAAAUUGUUUCGUUUGAUUCCAACAAAAUCAAACACCAAAAACAAGAAAAAACACACGACUUUCAACAAUGGAUAUCUUGGCUCCCGCAACGAUGAAGAACGCAGCAAAGUGCGAUAACUAAUGUGAAUCGCAUCCGCCGCGAAUCAUCAAGUCUUUGAACGCAUCCUGCGCUUUGAUGACCGCAAGGUUGUCGAGCAUGCUCGGUUGAGAGUGGAAUAAUCAGAAUCGAUAAUCAAGCAGAAUCUCAAGUCUCACACGAAAUGAAGAAAUUCAUUUUGGGGAUUUGGGGCCAACGAAAUACUGUUGGUAACUGCUUAAACUUCGAGACUAUGAAUGCUUGUUUCUUUUCAAAUUUGAUUCUUCAAAACAAUCAAAAAAUUGGAAAGUCAAGUGAAAUAUCAAAUCCACAAAAAUAAAAAACACCCACUUGCAAUGUGAACCGAAUUGAUUUCGGAAAAUCAAUGAAUAAACAAAAGAUCAAGAUGCGUUCUGGUUAUUUUGUUGAAAUCAAAUGAAAUUCCGAAAAGUCCCAAAUAACAAAGCAAAGUGAAGAAAAAAUCCACAUCAACUCGAGCAAGAAAACCCGCUGAAUUGAAGCAUCUUAAUAAGCGGAGGAAAAGAAAACAACAGUGAUUCCCUCAGUAACGGCGAGUGAACAGGGAAAAGCCCAAGCCGAAAAUCCUGACAGAACCCGCAAGGGAAAAACACGCUGGCAGGAGAUGUAGUCUUGAGACGAUCCAAGAGCACAUGACCCAGAAGCACCUGAAGACGCCUGGAAGGGCGCACCAGAGAGGGUGACAGUCCCGUGCAGGUCGAAGAAGGGAAAACACAUGGGCUCAACAAGGAUUGAUCUUAGCGAGUCGGGUUGCUUGAGAGUGCAGCCUGAAACGGGUGGUAUACUCCACCUAAGGCUAAAUAUGGGCGGGAGACCGAUAGCAAACAAGUACCGCGAGGGAAAGAUGAAAAGACCCUGAAAAGAGUGUCAAAAUAACUUGAAAUUGUUGAAAGGGAAGCGAUUGGCGACAGCGAAGGGCGAUGAUCAGGACGAAGAAGGCAGCUGGCAAGACAAUGAUCUUGCUGCGUCUCCGCCGUCAGGUCACGCAGACUGGCAUGAGUUGGGCAGGCACGAGAAUCACCAGGCGCAGGCGAAGUCGACAGCACAGCAAUGUGUUGGCAUAAAAAGACAAUCGCACGCACUGGAGGCUCAGACCGUGGCAGGCCCGACUGAGGAAACCAAGUGGGAGCCUCACGAGGCGGUUCAGGAAUGCGACAGAGGCAGCGAUGUCAACGUCGAAAACAGAGGCCGGAGUCAGAGCGAAAAGCAAUGAAUCCAAGGCACCUGUGGUCGGCGAGGGCAGCGAGGCAGCUGAGCGUGUCCGAAAAGGAACUGGACCACACCCACAGGAAGAUGCCAGAGAAGCAUGGAGCCAAUCGACCCGUCUUGAAACACGGACCAAGGAGUUCAAUGUGUGCGCGAGCGUGAGGGUGAGACAAACCCGAACGCGAAACAAACGUGAGACAAGGUGAGAAGCUGCAACGAAAGAAGUGGCUGCAUCAUCGACCUGUUUUGAGGACACGGUGGAAAAGGCACUGCAGGUAAAAUGGCGGUGAACGAAUAAAGCUGUGUACCAAGAAGGACAAGAGUCAGAGUGGACACAUUGAGACCCGAAAGAUGGUGAACUAUGCCCGGGGAGGACGAAGCCAGGGGAAACUCUGGUGGAGGUCCGCAGCAAUACUGACGUGCAAAUCGUUUGUCAGACCAGGGUAUAGGGGCGAAAGACUCAUCGAACCAUCUAGUAGCUGGUUCCCUC
rnacentral:misc_RNA from 1 species